UCUCCAUCAGUUACAUACCAGCUCCUAAGAGUCACUUCCAGGCUGCCUCCAAUGGGUCACCUCCUCAUGAAGUUCACAGACCAGAUAGAGGGGAACAAACAUGAGGAACAAGGAGCAAUCUGAAGUGAUGGAGCCCAAGGCUAUUCCUUAAACCACCAGUGAAGUUCCUGGACUUUUCUACCCACCUGUGUGCAAGGUUUGGAUAGAAACAAGCAAGCCAAGACUCAAGAUUGGGAAACAGGAGAUCAUGAUGAGCCUGUAUGUAAGCAGGAGGAGCCACUGGCAUCAUGGGAAAAAAUGAGGAAGGCCAUGGAGAUAGAACUAAGAGCCUCACGAAUGGUCAGCAAGCACUCCACCAUGAAGCACCAACCUCCCUAGGCUCCUAAACUAUGCUGUUGUUGAAAACAGGAGAACAAUUCUCUGAGUCUCCACUGUAAGCUGUCCUCAGGCAGCAGCAGGCAAACAGCAAACUCGCCGAUGUAAAGUUCACAGGUACCUAAGGAAGGCCAACACAGCUAUUGGUGGGAACAUCCUUGAAAAGUAUCAAUUCAUAUAUUAAUAAAAUGAUAUG